UACGGAGGUCCAAGCGUUGUCCGGAAUCACUGGGUGUAAAGGGUGUGUAGGCGGGCCUGUAAGUCAGGGGUGAAAGCCACCGGCUCAACCGGUGAAUUGCCUUUGAUACUGCAGGCCUUGAGUCCUGGAGAGGUCGCUGGAAUUCGUGGUGUAGCGGUGAAAUGCGUAGAUAUCACGAGGAACAUCCGAGGAGAAAUCGGGCGACUGGACAGGUACUGACGCUGAGGCACGAAAGCGUGGGGAGCAAACAGG
rnacentral:misc_RNA from 1 species